rnacentral:lncRNA from 12 species
GCUUUUCUUGUGUUUUGUUUAGUUAAUUUUUUAAUGAAUAAAGCUUAUUUGCUUUUAUUUGCUUGUCAGUUUUUAAUUUCUUUAAUUUUUUUUAAUUUUUCGCUGCAUUGUGACUCUGGAUUUAAAUCUAUUAGCUGUGUUAUUUGACUCAAUUAGUUGCAUGUAGAUCUAUUAGAUAGUACUACACAUUCACGUUCUUCUCUGCCUGUGAUUCUUAUGUCUUGGCCAUUGGUGUAUUUGUGUUUGAGAACAAUUAGCUGAAAAACUUUUUGUUUAUUUUGCCAGGCAGAGGGCAAGUGACCUUGAGAAGUUUGGUGGUGAUAUCUAUUUUUCUUGCUUGGACUUCCAGUUUUGAAUAUGAAUGGAGCCUAAAGAACGUAAAGAACAACCAUGAUGCUUCAUUAGCAAAAGACGAUGAACUGAAUGAACAGCUUGAAGAGGAAAGAAUAAACAGUCCAGAAAAGGAGAAUGAACUCUUGAAGAAAAGCUAUGAUAAACUGUGUAAGUGCUCAGUGAUACCCCAGAUGAGCAGGAACUUGAAUGUGAAGAUACUGAUUUUGCCGAAUCUGUUUGAAAAAAGAAGCAAAGAAAUGCCACUGAACAAGACAUUGAUGUUUUUGAUUCACAAGAUGAUAGUGCAGUAAUUGGAAAGCUCAAAGGAACAGUGGAAGCCCUCCAUGCGCUGCCCUCAGUUGAGAGGGGAAUGCAAAGAUGACUACGAGGCAUGAAAGGAAGUUUGCCUACAGAAGAUCCUUCUCCCAGUGUAAAUACAUGGUUGAUAGUGCAUCAAAGAUGAGAUCUUUGUAAUUCCUACAGUAUAUUUAAUGUAUAAUUUAUAUGAAAAGGACGCUUGAUUUGUAGUUGUAAAGUUUUGUAUACUUUUCAGUCUGUUUGUUUUUAUAUUUCCCCCCUAGGCUAAGAAUAUCUCCACAAUGGACAACGUCUUGUAAAUAAUUAAUACCUACAUGAUUUAGCAAUGUGCUUUAUUUGCAUUUUUAAGAUUUUUUCCUACAUAAAACAGUAAUAAAAAUGCAAGUCAAAAUUUUAAUUUUUAAUAAAAAGACCAUAAGCCUUAGAAAACUGAUUAAAAAUACUUUUAUGUUAUCCCUAAUCACCCUGCUAAAUGGAAUGCCUGUGAUUAGCCUCAUUAAGAAUUUUAUACUGUGAAGAUUUUAUUAAAAGCAAUAUAUGAAAAUUACUUGGAUUAAUGUGUUAAUCUGCCUCUUUAAAAUGCUAAUAUCCAUUUUAUGCACAUUAAAUCUCAGUAUGUGUUUUCUUUGAUGCAUGCAGUUCCUAUCAAUUAAAUAUAAAAAAUUAGGCUAGUUGCAGGACUUAUUGAAUUACUGCAACCUUUUUUUAAAUAACUUUUACCCUUCUACUAACAUUAUAAUCAGCUGUUUAUGGUUACCAUAAUUUGAAGUAGGGGGAGGGCAGGCGCAAUCAUUUUCUGUACAGUAGAUGAUUUACUUGCAGCCAACAUCUGUCAAAGCACAAAAAGAAGCCAUGCAGUAUCAGAUUUUGCUUCACCUACUUUGGGCUUUAGGGAUGGACAACUGUUUUCAUUUGGGUUUUGUCACUUUUAGAACUUACAUCAAACAUAUACAAUAAAUUGUUGUAUCUGAAUAACUACUGUCUAGUGUGGAAAGUUAAUUUUACAGCUUUUAACCAAUCUCAGUGAAGGAUCUAAUUGAUAUUUUUAAUGGAGCUGUGAAUCAAUGCUGCAAAAGGAUUGUCUCGUGAGAACGAGGAUAUAAUACAUUUCAUUUUUUAAUUUACUUUUUUUUAUUUGUCAUUUUCUUCAAAGGAUUUUAUAGACUGUGGAUUUCCACUGUUUGCAAACAGGCUAUGUUUCUUCAUAAGCAUAUGUAAAGUAUUCAGAGAGAUAAGUAAUUUAUUAAAAUCUACCUAAUUUGCCGUGAUAUAUUAAAUCUCUGCUUCAGUGAUCACAGACCAUUUCAUUUAGAGAAUUAGGCAUUCCCUCUUUGUGUGAUUAAAGCUCUGGAAAAUGAGUUCUUUGCUCCUAUUUGUGAACAUUCAAAGCCUGCUAAUGGCAAG